rnacentral:rRNA from 1 species
AUUUCGAGUGGCGGACGGGUGAGUAACGCGUGAGCAACCUGCCCUAUACCGGGGGAUACCAGUUGGAAACGACUGUUAAUACCGCAUAAGCGCACGAUAAGACAUCUUGUUGUGUGAAAAACUCCGGUGGUAUAGGAUGGGCUCGCGUAUGAUUAGCCAGUUGGCGGGGUAAAGGCCCACCAAAGCGACGAUCAUUAGCCGACCUGAGAGGGCGACCGGCCACAUUGGGACUGAGACACGGCCCAAACUCC